rnacentral:rRNA from 1 species
AGAGUUUGAUCCUGGCUCAGGAUGAACGCUGGCGGCGUGCUUAACACAUGCAAGUCGAACGGAGCUAUGACACGGAGUCUUCGGACGAAGUGCUGUAGCUUAGUGGCGGACGGGUGAGUAACACGUGAGCAACCUACCUUUUGCAGGGGAAUAACUCUGGGAAACCAGAGCUAAUACCGCAUGCCGUGCGCUUGGGGCAUCCCAGGUGCAUGAAAGGAGCAAUCCGGCAGAAGAUGGGCUCGCGUCCGAUUAGGUAGUUGGAGAGGUAAUGGCUCCCCAAGCCGACGAUCGGUAGCCGGACUGAGAGGUCGAUCGGCCACAUUGGGACUGAGACACGGCCCAGACUCCUACGGGAGGCAGCAGUGGGGAAUAUUGGGCAAUGGGCGGAAGCCUGACCCAGCGACGCCGCGUGAAGGAGGAAGGCUUUCGAGUUGUAAACUUCUUUGGGGAGGGACGAAGAUGACGGUACCUCCAGAACAAGCCACGGCUAACUACGUGCCAGCAGCCGCGGUAAUACGUAGGUGGCGAGCGUUAUCCGGAUUUACUGGGUGUAAAGGGCGCGCAGGCGGCCCUGGAAGUCAGAUGUGAAAGAUCAAGGCUUAACUUUGACAGGUCAUCUGAAACUUUGGGGCUUGAGUAUCAGAGGGGAAAGUGGAAUUCCUAGUGGAGCGGUAAAAUGCACAGAGAUUAGGAGGAACACCGGUGGCGAAGGCGACUUUCUGGCUGACAACUGACGCUGAGGCGCGAAAGCGUGGGGAGCAAACAGGAUUAGAUACCCUGGUAGUCCACGCCGUAAACGAUGAUUACUGGGUGUAGGGAGUAUCGACUCUCUCUGUGCCGAAGCAAACGCGAUAAGUAAUCCACCUGGGGAGUACGGCCGCAAGGCUAAAACUCAAAGGAAUUGACGGGGACCCGCACAAGCAGUGGAGUAUGUGGUUUAAUUCGAGGCAACGCGAAGAACCUUACCA